AUGAGGCAUUUCAUAAUAACAAACUGUGAGGAAACCGCGCCAUGGAUUGAUGAACAUCUUGAGGAGCUCAGAAGGAAUAAUUCUCCUAAUCCUAAAAAGCAGCACAAGGAAGAGUUUGUUGGUUGGUUUGAGAGACGGAUCACAGAACUCCACAAUGAUGGGAAGGUCAACAAUCUAAUUUAUGCACUAGCUAAAGGACCUGAUCACCUAGCUCGGGUAUACAACCGUACAGUUCUGAAUGGAUAUUUCUUUCGGAAUUCCUAUAUAGAGCAAGACCUGAGUACCCAAAAUAGUGGCGUCAUAGUCAAGGGUGAUGCAAACACAGGAAAUAUUGAUUAUUACGGGGUGAUCAAGAAAAUCAUAUUUCUUGACUUUCCUCUUGAUAAGGAGGUUGUUCUAUUCCAGUGUGACUGGUUUGAUGUGCCUCUUGCCAAAAGAGCUGAGACUAAGGGGUAUAAGAAGGACAAAUAUGGAAUUAUUGACCUUGACACUACUCUACACCAAUUCUAG
rnacentral:rRNA from 1 species